rnacentral:lncRNA from 1 species
GGCCGGCCGCGGGCGCUAGGGGCCGCUCUGCUCGCGCGCGGCCACCCCGCGCGGGCGCUACUUCUGUCUGUUCCAGCCUAAGAGAAAGGGGGUUUGAAUCCGAAACCUCACAAUUAAAAAGGCUUGGGAUCAUUUGGAAAGGCCAGUUGGAGUUAUCAGAGAGGAGGACAGUCCUCUCCGCCCUCUGCGGAUGCAAUAGGAAGACCCGUCAGCUGCGGAGAAGGGGAGCGGGCAGACAGACACCUGGAGGCGCUUCCUGGUCAUCUGGGGCAAUUCUCAGUUCUAGAUGUCGCCGAAACGCAAGAAAGCCGCGGACUAGUGGUCUCUUGACUAUUCA